AUUGGUUUAGCUAAGUGGUAAGGCAACUGACUCGUACUCAGAAAAACCGUAGGUUCGAAUCCUACAACCAAUA
rnacentral:tRNA from 1 species